CCGCUGCCCCUCCAGAACCCAUAGGACUCCUAUCAGAGUUUCACUGCUGCUGCCUCCACAUGGGUGUUUCAGAUGCCCUGUGACAUCUAUCCAUAGUUUCUCUGAAGCUGAACUAGCAGCUUAAACACCCAUUCAUGAUCAGAGGAAAGAAACAGAUGAUAUUGUUGACCUGUGCUGGUGACAGCAACAUCUGGACAGG